AAUGGCCAUAUAACUACUAAUUUACUAAUUUAUGACAUUUGUUGUUCAAUAAUAAACAAAGUCAAUCGACUGAUGUCAAUAGAGCCAGAAAACAAUAACCAUAAAAGCUUUGCAUUUAUUUAGAAUACAUUAAAAUGAGUGAAGAGUGUCAGAGUAAUGAAAUAUUGGAGUUUCAGAACAAAUUCCAAGAUAAAUUAUUUGAACUUCAGUCUAAAAGGAGUACAAUGAAAGAUCUUGAAGCCAAAAUGCAAAAGGAGAUACUGCAGAAACAAGAUUUUCAAAGGUCCGUUGAAAAGGCCAAAAGAGAAAUUCAAGAAAUGUCGGUACAGCUUGAAGUUGCGAUAGCGGCUGCUAGAAAAAGCGAAUCAGACCGAAUAGCAAAUAGAGAGGUUUCAGCAAGGCAGAAGAUCCAUCUUCAGACAACGCUCAUGGACAGGGAAACUCUCCAAGAGCAAAUUCGAACUCUUGAGGUAGAAACAGCUCAACUUAAAAGAUUAUUACAACAAAGCGAUGAAAAGUUGGUUAAACAAAAUAUUUUACAAGAACGAUGCAAAAAUAAGGAAAUGCAAUUUAAAAAAUCUUUAGAACAGCUUACUUCGACAAUUAAAGCUACUGAAGAUAGCCAUAAAAAACUCAAAGACCUGUUUAACGUGAUUAAUGUUGCAAACCAACAUGUAACUUUUCUUUUAGUUACUAAAACAGACUUAAUAACGAAUUUAGAAGAAGAAAGAAAUAAAUUGCAAGAGCAAGUUUUGUCUUUUACAGAAAAUUUAGCAAAAUUGAAAGUCGAAAACCAGACACAAAAAUCCUAUGGAUGCGAUGAAAAUCUUUUAGAAACUGAACUAGAGAAAUCUUUAGAAGAAAAGGAAAUUGCCAUUAAGGAAAAAGAAAAAGAAAUUAAGGAUCUACAAAAAGCUCUGGAAAUGAGUUUUGAAUCGAUUAAACAUUUAGAAAAACAAAAUGCUAACUUACAGGAUGACUUGAAUUUUUGGAAAAAUAAAGCUAAUAAAAGCUGUUCUUGUCAGUCUGAGAAUAACAGUCAAUCAAAUGAUUCUUCAAGAAGUGAAAAUUCACCAGUUUCUACAACAUCGGACAAGAAUGGAAGUGUUGAAAAGUCUCCGAUUGUAACUGAAAAUACGCCGAAGAAGAAAACCAAAAGGAAUAAAAAAUCACUAUUCACAGCUAACAAAAAUGGAGAUAAAGAAACAAAAAAACAAAAUGGGGUUCCACAGGAAGAAGACAAUUCAGAGAGAAAAAUUAACGCGAAUUAUUAUGAAAUAUUACAAAAUAAUUCAAGAACUUAUUAAACAUUUCAAGAAUAAAAAGUUUAUCUUCCUUUCUAAAGCUUUAAUUUUGAAAAUCUAGUACAUAUUAAAUAUAGAAGAAAAGUACAUUGCAAGUUCAGAGGAUUUUUGGGUAUUGAGCCAACUUCAGACAAAAG